rnacentral:tRNA from 1 species
GCACUCGUAGCUCAGCUGGAUAGAGCGCUGCCCUCCGAAGGCAGAGGUCACAGGUUCGAAUCCUGUCGGGUGCGCCA